UCCUCAUUUAAAUGAGGCAGUCCGUCCAGAGUGCUUCCCGAUUUCUCGGGAGUGGCAACAGGACGCAAGGGUUGCGCUCGUUGCGGGACUUAACCCAACAUCUCACGACACGAGCUGACGACAGCCAUACAGCACCUGAGCAGGAUGGUAUUGCUACCUCGUCAGGCUUUCACCCUUCUACUACGUACAUGUCAAGGCCAGGUAAGGUUCUUCGCGUUGCAUCGAAUUGAGCCACAUACUCCACCGCUUGUGCAGGCCCCCGUCAAUUUCUUUGAGUUUUAAUCUUGCGACCGUACUUCCCAGGCGGCAUGUUUAACGCGUUGGCUACGCCACAAAAGAGGUCGAUUCCUCUUACAGCAAACGUGCACCGUUUACAGCUAGGACUAC
rnacentral:misc_RNA from 1 species